CGUGGAUAACCUGCCGUGCACAGGGGGAUAACACUUAGAGAUAGGUGCUAAUACCGCAUAAGCGCACAGUUUCGCAUGAGACGGUGUGAAAAGCCUGGAAGCGAUUCCUGGCGGUGCAUGAUGGAUCCGCGUCCGAUUAGCUAGUUGGCGGGGUAAAGGCCCACCAAGGCAGCGAUCGGUAGCCGGCCUGAGAGGGUGGACGGCCACAUUGGGACUGAGACACGGCCCAAACUCCUACGGAAGGCAGCAG
rnacentral:rRNA from 1 species